GACGUAGGGGGCGAGCGUUGUCCGGAUUUAUUGGGCGUAAAGAGCUCGUAGGCGGCUCAGCAAGUCGGGUGUGAAACCUCCAGGCUCAACCUGGAGACGCCACCUGAUACUGCUGUGGCUAGAGUCCGGUAGGGGAACACGGAAUACCCGGUGUAGCGGUGAAAUGCGUAGAGAUGCGGAGGAACACCGAUGGCGAAGGCAGCCCCCUGGGCCAGCACUGACGCUCAGGCACGAAAGCGUGGGGAGCAAACAGG
rnacentral:rRNA from 1 species